GGGAUUUCGAGUAAGGACGUCAACUCUGCCGCCUUCAAUCAGCCUGGCAAUGAGCGCCGCUUUUAUUCUUGCCAUCCCUGGUGUCGAAUCACGAUAAUUCAAAGGGCAAGCUGGGGCCGUUAUGGGGUCUCAACUGCCUUGCGGUGGACGAACUUAUGAUCGCAGACACACAUCCAGGUUGACGAAUAUUCGCCUUCACAGCUGUAUUCAGCAUCUUUGCUUACCUCCUCUUCGUUGGGUUUGUGAUGGGGAUAAGCAAAUCUGUGUUGAAUGCCUGGGAGGCGGUAGGGACUUGCCUCAUUUCCCUUUGUUCGUUUGCGUGGCAUGUUAGGCUGGUAAAGCCAAUCGAACUUGGCACCAGGCUGUCGG